UACGAGAGGCCCAAACGUUAUUCGGAUUUACUGGGCUUAAAGAGUUCGUAGGCGGCGCAGAAAGUAGGGUGUGAAAGCCCUCGGCUCAACCGAGGAAUUGCGCCCUAAACUACUGUGCUCGAGGGACCUAGAGGUGAGCAGAACUGAUGGUGGAGCGGUGAAAUGCGUUGACAUCAUCAGGAAUACCGGAGGCGAAGGCGGCUCACU
rnacentral:rRNA from 1 species